rnacentral:rRNA from 1 species
UGGGGAAUUUUCCACAAUGGGCGAAAGCCUGAUGGAGCAACGCCGCGUGUGUGAUGAAGGGUUUCGGCUCGUAAAACACUGUUGUAAGAGAAGAAUGACAUUGAGAGUAACUGUUCAAUGUGUGACGGUAUCUUACCAGAAAGGAACGGCUAAAUACGUGCCCG